AUUGAACGCUGGCGGCAUGCCUUACACAUGCAAGUCGAACGGCAGCACGGGGGCAACCCUGGUGGCGAGUGGCGAACGGGUGAGUAACAUAUCGGAACAUACCCUAGAGUGGGGGAUAACGUAGCGAAAGUUACGCUAAUACCGCAUACGAUCUAAGGAUGAAAGUGGGGGAUCUUCGGACCUCAUGCUCAUGGAGUGGCCGAUAUCUGAUUAGCUAGUUGGUGAGGUAAAAGGCUCACCAAGGCGACGAUCAGUAGCUGGUUUGAGAGAACGACCAGCCACACUGGAACUGAGACACGGUCCAGACUCCUACGGGAGGCAGCAGUGGGGAAUUUUGGACAAAUGGGGGCAACCCUGAUCCAGCAAUGCCGCGUGAGUGAAGAAGGCCUUCGGUUGGU
rnacentral:rRNA from 1 species